UACGAAGGGGGCGAGCGUUGUUCGGAUUUACUGGGCGUAAAGGGCGCGUAGGCGGCCCUCCUUGUCGCGUGUGAAAGCCCCGGGCCUCAACCUGGGAAUUGCGCGCGAAACGGGGGGGCUUGAGUUCGGGAGAGGAGCGUGGAAUUCCCAGUGUAGAGGUGAAAUUCGUAGAUAUUGGGAAGAACACCGGUGGCGAAAGGCGGCGC
rnacentral:rRNA from 1 species